GUCUCAGUAGCGCAAUGAUUAGCACGUUGGACUUCUAAUCCAAAGGCCGUGGGUUCCCAUCCUGCCUGGGAUG